rnacentral:lncRNA from 1 species
UUUUUUUUUUUUUUUUUUUAAUUCUUCAGCUAAAACAGUGGAAAAGGUGAUUUAUUAUAUGGUUGUUACACUCGGCCACAAAUAAACACAGAAAUAGUCCAGAAUGUCACAGGUCCAGGGCAGAGGACCAACUUGUACCAGCAUCCCCAGCGUCUGGCAUUCCAUGUUUCUGCUCCUGUGGCCUCCACGGUGCAACAAGCUAGCGGUUUACUUGGACCUCUGCCU